rnacentral:rRNA from 1 species
CCGCCCGUCACACCAUGGGAGUCAGUCUCUCCAGAAGUGCCUGAGCUAACCGCAAGGAGGCAAGGCCCCAAGGAGUGGCUGGUGACUGGGGUG